rnacentral:tRNA from 1 species
AGUAAAAUGGCUGAGAUUAAGCGAUAAAUUGUAAAUUUAUUUACGAAAAUUUAAAUUUUCUUUUACUA